GUCUACGGCCAUACUACUUAAAGCGCGCGAUCUCAUCUGAUCUCAGAAGCUAAGCGGGGUCGGGCCCGGUUAGUACUUGGAUGGGAGAAGUCAAUAAAACAGCCAUUUCCUGAACUGCCUCAGACUGCAAACC
rnacentral:rRNA from 1 species